rnacentral:rRNA from 1 species
GGGUGCGUAACACGUGGGUAAUCUGCCCUUCGAUGGGGAAUAACUCGCCGAAAGGCGAGCUAAUUCCGCAUAACAUUCCGAGAACUUCGGUUUUUGGAUUCAAAGGCGUAAGUCGUCGGAGGAGGAGCCCGCGCACGAUUAGCUAGUUGGUGAGGUAACGGCUCACCAAGGCUUUGAUCGUUAGCUGGUCUGAGAGGAUGGCCAGCCACACUGGAACUGAGACACGGUCCAG